rnacentral:rRNA from 1 species
CCUACGGGUGGCAGCAGUGGGGAAUAUUGCACAAUGGGGGAAACCCUGAUGCAGCGACGCCGCGUGAGUGAAGGAGCGUUUCGGCACGUAAAGCCCUAUCAGCAGGGAAGAAGAUGACGGUACCUGACCAAGAAGCCCCGGCUAACUACGUGCCAGCAGCCGCGGUCAUACGUAGGGGGCAAGCGUUAUCCGGAUUUACUGGGUGUAAAGGGGGCGCAGACGGCAAUGCAAGCCCGGAGUGAAAGCCCGGGGCCCCACCCCGGGACUGCUCUUGGAACUGCACGGCUAGAGUACUGGAGGGGCAGGCGGAAUUCCUAGUGUAGCGGUGAAAUGCGUAGAUAUUAGGAGGAACACCGGUGGCGAAGGCGGCCUGCUGGACAGUGACUGACGUUGAGGCUCGAAGGCGUGGGGAGCAAACAGGAUUAGAUACCCGAGUAGUC